UACACACUAAACGACAUGGGGAAAAACUGGGGAAACUCUAAUAUAUUUAUCGAUCUCCCAUUCUUCUCUAACACAUAGCCGCAUCUCCCAAGAGGGACUCUCUCUCAUUUUGGAGAACCUGCCGCCGAGCUCCUUCUUUCCCCCAUUUUCGCCGUCGGCCAGCCAUCAACGGCCAUGGCUGCCGCCUUCUCCUCUCUCCUCUUCAUCCCCUCUUCUCCUUUCUUUAACAACUGUAAAACGGGGAUCAUAAAUUCAUUAGAUCUGACUAAAAUUAUUAGAUCUUAUCGAAAAAUCCUUCACCGGUGACCGUGCUCGCUUGGCUUCUUUAAGAUGCUGCUCUGACUCCAUGAUUAUAGCGUCACUGAUUCUGCCGACUCUUUAGGUUGCUGGUCGGAUUUGUUUUGGCUAUCGUUACUGUGUUCUUUUGUGAUUAUAAAUGGUCAUGCCGAAAUAACGUUUUCGGCGACUGUUGUGCUCCUAACAUUGCAGCGAUCCUCUGUUCUUGGUCGAUUAUGAUUUGCAAAUUUGGAUUUGUGUUUGUGGCUGAUUACUCGAUAGUGUUGGUGGUAUUUUGGUACCAUUCCGUCGGAGUUUCGGCCGACAAAAUAUUUUCCGGCGUCCUGUGCAAUUUCCGGCGCCUCGCAAAAUUUCCGGCCACUGUCACGUACUCGUUUUACUAGCUAUUGAUGUUACUUUCAAACUCCUUUUCUUAUGUGAUGGUUUGAUUGUAUCUUUGCAAUUUCUGAUUUCUCCUUGGCUUCCGUUUGGGAUUUGUCCGCUGAUUGUGGCCCUUGCCAUUUCUGCUGCUUCAUCGCCAAAUGUUCUUCAAUGGCUUGUCCCAUGUUGAUGUCGUGACCCCUUUUUUUACACUGUAUUUGUAAGAAUUCUCAAGUUUUGAAAUAUUGCUUUUCAUCAAAUAUCGGCUAAACUAAAAUAAUGGAGACGACGAAUUAUUCUGUUGAAUAUUUGGUCCCUCAUCGUCAUCAUGUUUGAUUAGUUGGUUGUUGCAAGUGCUAUAGUCUGACUAAUUUCCUGAUAAUACGGGGUCGGGAAAAUUGAUACAGAAUGACAUCACAUUGAUUGACACUAGGUCGAUGAAAAAUAGCCACCGAGUUAUUAAGGCCAUGAUGCUCCGAAUGAUCCUUCGGAUUAGGCCCUAUAAUAACGAGGCGAUGAUGAUAAACAUCGAAAAAUAAAAGAUGAUGAUUGGAAUAUAAAAGACGAGAACACGACGAACCAACCUUCGGAGGGUGACACGGUUGGCCACCGAAGUCGCAACCAAGACGGUUCGUGUUCUCAUGUCUAGACGUAUAUUACAUAUAUCUGAGCCUCUUAUAUUAUUUUUAAAACUAUUUUCCAAAAAAAAAUUUCCCAUAAAUAUUUUGCAAACAAUCUUUCAGAAAAAAAAAAAAUAUUUUUCAAAUCAUUUUCAAGAGCAAUUUUCAAAAAAUAUUUUUAAAACAAAAAUCAUUUCAAAAAUGCAUGUCACUUAAUCAGUUUGUCUUUUACGUUACAUUAUUUCGCUAACAAUUUUAUUUCUCUUAUCUUGCGAGGUACUUUAUCUAAAACGCUUUGGAAAGAUGACGCUCGGAGACGAAAACGAACCCUGUCAAAUUCCCCGCUUCGUACUCCCGUUUUCGGAUGUGGUUCCACAACGGGAGGCAUUGACCAGUGAGAGUGGUACACUCUCUUCCCACUUGACUUGGUGAGCCCCACUUCUUUUGUUCUGUGUGUAUUAUGUUUUGAGGUAUAGCCCAAUUCUUGUUGCCGGCACUAUCAUUGUACUCUUUUGUAUCUAUUAGAGGCUCCAUAGAUAUGGUGUGGGUUGUGUAUUGGUAUUGGGAAAGUCAAGAUAGUAAUGUCGUAUGUGUAUUACAUGUUCCACUUCAAACUAUGAAAGUGUAUGUAUUUUGAGACUUUAUAAAUGAAGUAACUAAUGGUGAUGGAAUUAAUGUUGUUCA